rnacentral:rRNA from 1 species
GACGAACGCUGGCGGCGUGCUUAACACAUGCAAGUCGAACGGUGAACGAGGGAGCUUGCUCCCUCCGGAUCAGUGGCGAACGGGUGAGUAACACGUGAGCAAUCUGCCCCGAACUCUGGGAUAAGCGUUGGAAACGACGUCUAAUACCGGAUACGACGCGGGAGGGCAUCCUCUCCGCGUGGAAAGAACUUCGGUUCGGGAUGAGCUCGCGGCCUAUCAGCUUGUUGGUGAGGUAACGACUCACCAAGGCGACGACGGGUAGCCGGCCUGAGAGGGUGACCGGCCACACUGGGACUGAGACACGGCCCAGACUCCUACGGGAGGCAGCAGUGGGGAAUAUUGCACAAUGGGCGCAAGCCUGAUGCAGCAACGCCGCGUGAGGGACGACGGCCUUCGGGUUGUAAACCUCUUUUAGCAGGGAAGAAGCGAAAGUGACGGUACCUGCAGAAAAAGCACCGGCUAACUACGUG